GAUGAACGCUGGCGGCGUGCUUAACACAUGCAAGUCGAACGGUGAACGAGGGAGCUUGCUCCCUCCGGAUCAGUGGCGAACGGGUGAGUAACACGUGAGUAACCUGCCCUUGACUCUGGGAUAAGCGUUGGAAACGACGUCUAAUACCGGAUACGAGCUUCAGCCGCAUGGCUAGGAGCUGGAAAGCAUUUCGGUCAAGGAUGGACUCGCGGCCUAUCAGCUUGUUAGUGAGGUAAUGGCUCACCAAGGCGACGACGGGUAGCCGGCCUGAGAGGGUGACCGGCCACACUGGGACUGAGACACGGCCCAGACUCCUACGGGAGGCAGCAGUGGGGAAUAUUGCACGAUGGGCGCAAGCCUGAUGCAGCAACGCCGCGUGAGGGACGACGGCCUUCGGGUUGUAAACCUCUUUUAGUAGGGAAGAAGCGAAAGUGACGGUACCUGCAGAAAAAGCACCGGCUAACUACGUGCCAGCCGCCGCGGUAACAC
rnacentral:rRNA from 1 species